GCUCGCGUCUGAUUAGCUAGUUGGNAGGGUAAAAGCCUACCUAGGCGUACAAUCAGUAGCUGUGUCUGAGAGGAUGACCAGCCUCACUGGGACUGAGACACGGUUNCNACACUCCUACGGGCAGGCAUCAGUGGGGAAUUUUCCUCAAUGGGCGAAAGCCUGACCGAUCACGNCCGUGUGAUGGAGGAAGGCUCUUGGGUNGUAAACCUCUUUUGUNAAGGAAGAACNNACUGACGGUACCUGAUUAAUCAGCCUCGGCUAANUCCGUGCCAGCAGCCGUCGGUAAUACGGAGGAAGCAAUCGUUAUCCGGUAAUUAUUGGUC
rnacentral:rRNA from 1 species